UACGUAGGGCGCAAGCGUUGUCCGGAAUUAUUGGGCGUAAAGAGCUCGUAGGCGGCCAGUUGCGUCUGCUGUGAAAUCCCGGGGCUCAACCCCGGGCGUGCAGUGGAUACGGGCUGGCUAGAGGCAGGCAGGGGAGAACGGAAUUCCCGGUGUAGCGGUGAAAUGCGCAGAUAUCGGGAGGAACACCGGUGGCGAAGGCGGUUCUCUGGGCCGUAACUGACGCUGAGGAGCGAAAGCGUGGGGAGCGAACAGG
rnacentral:rRNA from 1 species